rnacentral:rRNA from 1 species
GAUGAACGCUGGCGGCGUGCCUAAUACAUGCAAGUCGAGCGAACGGACGAGAAGCUUGCUUCUCUGAUGUUAGCGGCGGACGGGUGAGUAACACGUGGAUAAUCUACCUAUCAGACUGGGAUAAUUUCGGGACACCGGCGCUAAUACCGGAUGAUAUUCUGAACCGCAUGGUUAAAAAGUGAAAGACGGUCUUGCUGUCACUUAUCGAUGGAUCCGCGCUGCAUUAGCUAGUUGGUAAGGUAACGGCUUACCAAGGCAACGAUGCCUAGCCGACGUGAGAGGGUGAUAGGCCACCUUGGAGCGGGAACACGGUCCAGGGUCCUACGGGAGGCAGCAGUAGGGAAUCUUCCGCAAUGGGCGAAAGCCUGACGGAGCAACGCCACGUGAGAGAUGAAGGUCUUCGGAUCGUAAAACUCUGUUAUUAGGGAAGAACAUAUGUGUAAGUAACUGUGCACAUCUUGACGGUACCUAAUCAGAAAGCCACGGCUAACUACGUG